ensembl:lncRNA
CUUUUGGUUGUGCUAGCAGCACACAGAGCAAAGCUAGCCAUGCUUGGAAGAUACCCCCUUGAAGAUUAGGACUGUGAUAGAAGGACAGACAAAUACACAGAACCAGGAAGAUUUUUUGCACUUCUGGCUUAUCAGUGUGGUGUGGCUUCAAGGACAACUUCGUCAGUGGGAAGAAAGGAAGGACACCAACACUUUCUGAAAUAGAGCAGAAAAUUGGGGUCGUUCUCCCUGUCCUGUCCUCCUCAACACAGCACACUCAAACGAUCAGAAGCGUUCAUAUUUCUGGAGCCUGGUCAGCUCUCUUUGCACAAUGUAGAUUUGCUGUGAAGGCCGGAUUCAAGCCAGCUGGUUUGGCUGAACAAGAUGAGGGGAGCACAGAGCUGUGUCAUCAUGCCAAAGCUAGCCGGAACAGUUUGUCAGCCCAUGGUCCACUUACGAUGCAAAGACCACAUGCUAAGGCAGACCUCCUCCUGCACACCUGCUAGUGUCUGACCCUUAUCCAGUCAGAGGAGCUACAUCUCUGUAACCUUAUUUCUGGGGACAAAACACAGUGUUUAUGACAGUAAUAUUGCAAAGGACAUUGCUAUUGAAACUGGCAACUCAACAAAGUGCUGAAGGCCUUAAUAUGGAAAUCUUCUGUCUUUUGGUAUCCACACAGUUUUUGUUCUGCAUUUUGAGGUUUUAGGAUUCAUUAAGCUACUUCUUGCCUUAUUCAUCUGAGCUAUCCUUCAGUCUUGUUCCAGCAUUCUGGUUUUGAUUAAUAGUUAUUAAGCAGUAACAGCUCUAAUGGGAAAAAUGACUGUUUUGUCCCGGAAAAUUAUGUAAGUUCUAACAACUGUUAGUUUUCCCACGUUGAGUCUGAGCAUGGAAAGUGCAAUCUGAAACAAUGUUACCACCCUUAAAAGCUGUCUCUCAGGAACAUUGUUUCUUUUGCAUUUUCAUUAUGGUUGCAAGCUACUACGUUUCCUCGAUAGUUUAUUUUAAUAAGAUGGUACUUCUUUAUGUUUAGUGAACAAUAAAGCUGAUCUUUCC